rnacentral:rRNA from 1 species
GACGAACGCUGGCGGCGUGCUUAACACAUGCAAGUCGAACGGAAAGGCCCUGCUUUUGUGGGGUGCUCGAGUGGCGAUCGGGUGAGUAACACGUGAGUAACCUGCCCUUGACUUUGGGAUAACUUCAGGAAACUGGGGCUAAUACCGGAUAGGAGCUCCUGCUGCAUGGUGGGGGUUGGAAAGUUUCGGCGGUUGGGGAUGGACUCGCGGCUUAUCAGCUUGUUGGUGGGGUAGUGGCUUACCAAGGCUUUGACGGGUAGCCGGCCUGAGAGGGUGACCGGCCACAUUGGGACUGAGAUACGGCCCAGACUCCUACGGGAGGCAGCAGUGGGGAAUAUUGCACAAUGGGCGGAAGCCUGAUGCAGCAACGCCGCGUGCGGGAUGACGGCCUUCGGGUUGUAAACCGCUUUCGCCUGUGACGAAGCGUGAGUGACGGUAAUGGGUAAAGAAGCACCGGCUAACUAUGUG